rnacentral:rRNA from 1 species
GAACGCGAAGAACCUUACCAGGUCUUGACAUCCCUUGACAACGCUAGAAAUAGCGCGUUCCCUUCGGGGACAAGGUGACAGGUGGUGCAUGGUUGUCGUCAGCUCGUGUCGUGAGAUGUUGGGUUAAGUCCCGCAACGAGCGCAACCCUUAUUAUUAGUUGCCAGCAUUCAGUUGGGCACUCUAGUGAGACUGCCGGUGAUAAACCGGAGGAAGGUGGGGAUGACGUCAAAUCAUCAUGCCCCUUAUGACCUGGGCUACACACGUGCUACAAUGGCAUAUACAACGAGUCGCUAACCCGCGAGGGUACGCUAAUCUCUUAAAGUAUGUCUCAGUUCGGAUUGUAGGCUGCAACUCGCCUACAUGAAGUCGGAAUCGCUAGUAAUCGCGGAUCAGACGCCGUCCGUUUC